GAUGAACGCUGGCGGCGUGCCUAAUACAUGCAAGUCGAGCGAACAGACGAGGAGCUUGCUCCUCUGACGUUAGCGGCGGACGGGUGAGUAACACGUGGAUAACCUACCUAUAAGACUGGGAUAACUUCGGGAAACCGGAGCUAAUACCGGAUAACAUGUUGAACCGCAUGGUUCAACAGUGAAAGACGGUCUUGCUGUCACUUAUAGAUGGAUCCGCGCCGCAUUAGCUAGUUGGUAAGGUAACGGCUUACCAAGGCAACGAUGCGUAGCCGACCUGAGAGGGUGAUCGGCCACACUGGAACUGAGACACGGUCCAGACUCCUACGGGAGGCAGCAGUAGGGAAUCUUCCGCAAUGGGCGAAAGCCUGAUGGAGCAACGCCGCGUGAGUGAUGAAGGUCUUCGGAUCGUAAAACUCUGUUAUUAGGGAAGAACAAAUGUGUAAGUAACUAUGCACGUCUUGACGGUACCUAAUCAGAAAGCCACGGCUAACUACGUG
rnacentral:rRNA from 1 species